GAUCCUGGCUUAGGACGAACGCUGGCGGCGUGCCUAACACAUGCAAGUCGAGCGAGGAGAUCCUUCGGGAUGAUCCUAGCGGCGGACGGGUGAGUAACACGUGGGCAACCUGCCUCAUAGAGAGGAAUAGCCUUCCGAAAGGGAGAUUAAUACCUCAUAACAUUGCAGUUUCGCAUGGAACAGCAAUUAAAGGAGUAAUCCGCUAUGAGAUGGGCCCGCGGCGCAUUAGCUAGUUGGUGAGGUAACGGCUCACCAAGGCGACGAUGCGUAGCCGACCUGAGAGGGUGAUCGGCCACAUUGGGACUGAGACACGGCCCAGACUCCUACGGGAGGCAGCAGUGGGGAAUAUUGCACAAUGGGGGAAACCCUGAUGCAAGCAACGCCGCGUGAGUGAUGACGGCCUUCGGGUUGUAAAGCUCUGUCUUCAGGGACGAUAAUGACGGUACCUGAGGAGGAAGCCACGGCUAACUACGUGCCAGCCGCUGC
rnacentral:rRNA from 1 species